GCAAGCCUGCCAUCCUCAGACAUUUGUUUCCAGGGCUGAUCCCGGUUCUGAACCACAUAUGCCACAUAGACAGCUGUUCUGGGUGAGUGUUGCCUGGGGUUGUUUUAGCCACUGUCACUUAGAGUCCUGUUAAAGCAGAUGACUGUGAUUAGGAGGGAGAAGUGGAGAGGAUCCUGAGUGAGUGUCCACCCAGUGCCCACAGGAAGCAAGAGAGAAACAGAAGGAGAUUGGCUGCUCAGGACAACAUCAGUGGUUGUUGUCACGCCCGACUAGUUUCGCCAGUCAGCCGUAGGCUCCAAGAAAGGAAGGGGUUUUUUCAAACUACUUUAGGCAACAACUUUGAGAGUUCUGGGUUCUCUGUCUCCUUGGGUACCCAUAUCAGACAAGGGGGCGACCCAAGAGCUGGCAGUCGUCCCCAGGGGUUGGGGAAGAGGGUGGAGUAAUGUUUGCUUUAGCAGGACCACCUAGCAAAUUGUCUCCACCUUCCUCUCUCAGCGAGGAUGCUGCAGCCAGCCUACUUCUUUCCCUCUGUCUGCCUCAGGCCUCCGUUGGGGCCCUCACCCCUGCCAGCACAGCAGAGGUCCCAAGCCCACGGAGGUCCCUCUUGCCAGAGGUGCUUGCGACCGAAGAGAUCACAGCCAAGCGUGGCUUUUCAUCUUGCAGAAGACAGUUCCGCGGUGGGAGCGUCUGGACAACUCUUCCAUUCAGAAGGGAGAACUUAGGUAGGCAGUGAAGAUGGAACUGAAUGCUGGGAGAAGGAAGGCGGAGUGAAGAGAGACAACAUGGAGCCGUGGGAACUUUAGCAGAGUAUAGCCUGCAGCCCGUGCUUAGCAGGGACAAGGUGAACUCUCCGAUUAGCUUCCAGUAAUGGGCCUCUCAGGUCUUUCCAGGGACUUGAUGAAGGCAUCUGGGGUGCAGGUGAAUCCCUGCCAACUGUUCCCUUGGCUGAGUCUGAGGGACAGAAGACAGGCACAACUUUUCUUUCAAAAUCAGAGCUGAGCUAACUGUGCCUCCGAAAAAUGCUGACACACGGCCCAAAAGUGAUCAGACACAUCUCUCCCAUUUUUUUUUUUCUGCUGCUCUCCGUGAAAGCUACUGGUGUUUGAUGAACAGAAACAAGCCGCCCUGCUGAGAUUUUCUGCUGGAGCCAAGUGUUUCUGCCAAGAGUGCUGAGCCGCCGCCAUGUUGAGGGGAUAGCUAUGUGCCUCCCACUGCAUCAGUGGACCUGCAAGAUUUCCCAUUAUUCCUUCUUUGCACAGUGGUCACAUUUAAGGGUAUGUGUGUAUAUGCACAUAGACACACACACACAUACAUCAUGAGACCACACACACACACGCACACACACA